rnacentral:rRNA from 1 species
AUUGAACGCUGGCGGAAUGCUUUACACAUGCAAGUCGAACGGUAGAGGGGGCAACCCCUCGAGAGUGGCGAACGGGUGAGUAAUAUAUCGGAACGUGCCCAGUCGUGGGGGAUAACGUAGCGAAAGUUACGCUAAUACCGCAUACGAUCUAAGGAGGAAAGCGGGGGAUCGCAAGACCUCGCGCGAUUGGAUCGGCCGAUAACAGAUUAGGUAGUUGGUGGGGUAAAGGCUAACCAAGCCAACGAACUGUAGCUGGUCUGAGAGGACGACCAGCCACACUGGAACUGAGACACGGUCCAGACUCCUACGGGAGGCAGCAGUGGGGAAUUUUGGACAAUGGACGCAAGUCUGAUCCAGCCAUUCCGCGUGCAGGAUGAAGGCCCUCGGGUUGUAAACUGCUUUUGUACGGAACGAAAAGGUCUCUCUUAAUACGGGGGACUCAUGACGGUACCGUAAGAAUAAGCACCGGCUAACUACGUGCCAGCCGCCGCCGUAA